rnacentral:rRNA from 1 species
AACAGCAGUCAUAUCACUGUGCAACUCACACUUGGCCACCCACUGAGGUUAAGUAGGUGUGAGCCUGCCCAGUACCUGGAUGGGAGACCUCCUGGGAAAAACUAAGGCUGCUGCUGGAA